rnacentral:rRNA from 1 species
CGCACCGCCCGUCACACCAUGGGAGUUUGUUGCACCAGAAGCAGGUAGCUUAACCGCAAGGGGGGCGCUUGCCACGGUGUGGCCGAUGACUGGGGUG